GGUCGCAUAGUCUAAUGGUAGAACACCUCGUUUACAUCGAGAAGACCCUGGUCCGAUUCCAGGUACGACCA
rnacentral:tRNA from 2 species